rnacentral:lncRNA from 1 species
AGGGAAAGUCACAAAGCAAUAUGGAGUCAAGCCUAUGAUUUAAAUGGACAGCCAGAAAUUUGGAAGGAACAAGAUUUAACAUUUGAUGGGGAAGACAUUUAGAGACAGGGUAGACAAAGAUGAACAAAAUACAAAUUUGCCCUCUCCAAUGCAAGGCACCAUCACUAAUAAAUAUCUUUGCUGAAAAAUAAAUGCAGAAUGGGAGACAGGAAAAGAAAAUGUGCAGGGUCCCCAGUGGAGGAGUUAGAAAAAGGACUGAAGAAGCUGAAGGGGUUUGCAACCCUAUAGGAAGAACCACAAUAUGAACCAACCAGAUCCUCCAGAGCUCCCAGGGACUAAGCCAUCAACAAAGAAAUUUCUAUCCUACUGGAUAAUGUAUGUAGGACUCACAUGCCAUGUAAGAAUAACUUCCUUUAAAUUUCAAGGAGAGAAUUUGCUCUGGUAAAGAAAUUAUACUUGUAACAUUGUAGCAAAGAUCUACAUAUAUGCCUACAUGACUGAAAAUUCUUCCCUACGUUCUCAGGAUUUCUAGUUAUCCCCUAGGGGAGACAUAUAUAAGGUGACAGGGAAGUUAUAAUGAUACUUCUGAAACAAUUUGUGAUAGUGGUAACUUUCAGAGGACUGCGAAGACAGUAAAUGAAUGAAGUUAUGAUUUUGUGACUCAGGAAUGAAGUUUCUCAAGGUUCUGGAAAGCCACAAAGAUGUCUGGAAUCUCUAGCAACUGCAUCAUCUUAUAAUUACUCCUGGUACAAGAUUAUAUCCAUUGAUAUCAUAGAAAUAUUUAUAUAGAACUGAAAC